UCUUGUCACAAAAUUACCCUGAAUGCGCCCAAUCGCAUUGGAUGUCAGAAGCUAAGCAGUGUUGAGCCUGGUUAGUGAUUGGAUGGGUGAUCAGGAUUUAUUCAGGGUUGCUAAAU
rnacentral:rRNA from 1 species